GUGAUGCAAGUACAGCUCACCCCAGAUAUAAUUUCCCCUGACAGAGACCACAGGGAGGGAGGAAUGUUCUCCACACUCUGUUCCUCCUUGAGACGGGUGCGUGGGUGGUUGGACCCAAAAUGCACGACUCAAACAAUAAUCGGAUAAAGUCCCGUCAGGGCUUUAUUCGGGACGAAUCCCAGGAGCGUAGUCAAAACAAGCAAAGUCCAUACACGUAGAUCCAGGCAGACAAACAAUAAACAAACAAAAAGCAUGGUGCCGAGGGAAGAGGCAAACUCGUAGUCGGUAGACGUGCAGGGAGGUCCGGUAGCAGGAGAGCUGUCAGCGGGGCAGAAGUACAGGCAGGCGGCAGGCAGGGUCGUAGUCGAGGGCGAAGCAGAAGUCGAAACCAUAAAACAAACAGCGAGGCAAAGGUACAAAAUCGGUAGGCGAGGAUGUGGUCAAAAACAAACGAUGGUCAACAAAACAAAAAUCAAUAAUCGAUGGUCGAUGGUCGAUGGUCGGUGGUCGGUGGUCGGUAAACAGGCUUGGAUCGUAACGCGUAAUCAAUGAUAGCACAUGCUCAAGCGUUGCUUUGACGUACAAGAGGCAGACAAUUUCGCGAAGAAUAGUAGUGCGACUGGGCUAUAAAUGCAGGUGUAGACAGGUGUAGACAAUUAGUUAGAGAGCAGCAAGGAAAUGGAAAACAGGUGCGAUGGAUGACAAGUUUAACAAGGAGAUUAGUAAUCGUUAGUAAUAAACCUAUCCUGCCCUAGCAUUAGUAAAUUAGUAAAUGACAUGCACGAGAAACGUAAGGUAACAUGAACACAUGAUUAGUUUGUUAGUCUCUACCCAAUCCUGAUCUAGCGUUAGUAGUUUUAGUAAAUAGACAAAUAGAAACAAUUAGGGUGUGAAUGACAGAAAGAGAGAAAGAGAAAGGCGGAACGCAAGGUUUACAGAAAGACAUGUAAAAGUGUAUGUUUAAACAACGACCAGUCAGUGUAACAAUAAACAUAAAUCAAAACAUCACACUAAACGAACUAAGACAAUAAUCACUCAACAUAACAAGGUGGUCUCUCUUUCUCUUUUUUGUUUUCUUCCAGCUGCAGCCGGAGCGGCCGGUGUAUGUGGCCCAGCCUGAAGGACAUCAGGAGGAGCGGAUCAACGGAACAACCUGCGUGCCUUUCUGGUGGGUGACGCCUGGAGGGAGCCCCCAGAAGAGGAGGAAGCCGAACGGGAACUGGAACCAGGACCGCGGACCACCACCGGCUUGUGCGGCCCUGUUGCCCUGACCGGAGGAUACUGCAAUCCAGGAAACCCACAGUGUUCGGCCGCGGUGGUUCCAGACGGCAGGAAUGAGGAGCAGUCCUUUUUGGUUUCGUUUUUUAUUUUUGGAGGUGGAGACGGUCUGGCACCUGUGGCAUGGGCCGAGUUGCGUCCCUCCCUUUUGGGGUGUCAG